GAUGAACGCUGGCGGCGUGCUUAACACAUGCAAGUCGAGCGGGCAAUUUAUCUAGCACUGAUUACUUCAAAUGGAAAUCAUAAGUGUAAUCAUGAAUUUCUACCUUUAAUAAAGAAAAAAGAAAUUCAUGUACGCAAAUAGUGAUAACACAUUUUAGUGGAGUGAUGAGUGCUGGAUAAAUUGCUAGCGGCGGACGGGUGCGUAACACGUGGGUAACCUGCCCCUAUCACUGGGAUAACACACUGAAAAGUGUGCUAAUACCAGAUAAUAUAAGCUUUUGGCAUCAUUAGCUUAUCAAAGAAUUUCGGAUAGGGAUGGGCCCGCGUCUGAUUAGCUUGUUGGUGAGGUAAUGGCUCACCAAGGCAACGAUCAGUAGCCGACCUGAGAGGGUGAUCGGCCACACUGGAACUGAGACACGGUCCAGACUCCUACGGGAGGCAGCAGUGGGGAAUAUUGCACA
rnacentral:rRNA from 1 species